AGUUGNUAGCUCAGUCGGUAGAGCAGGGGACUGAAAAUCCCCGUGUCGGUGGUUCGAUUCCUAUCACCAGCUCC
rnacentral:tRNA from 1 species